AUGGGGUGCUGGGUAAGUGAAGGAGAGAAAUAUUCAUUCUUUUUCAAUUUUGGUUAUUUGGGUGUGGGAAGUAAAGGAACGUGCACUGAGGGUGGUAGCUGCACUUCUGGUUCUGGAAUACAUGUAAAUCCAUUUAGACUUAUAGGUGUUGGAUACUUGGAUUACCAGUUUGGACUCUUGCAACCCUAUGUAGUGGAUUUUCUUUUAAUUUCUGGUCCAUUUCGAUCUGUCGCAUGCUAGUCGGUGUUGGUGAGGCUUCAUAAGUCUUGCAGCACCUUUUAUUGAUGACAAUGCCCCAGUUACCCAGAAAACAGCAUGGCUUGCAAUAUUUUACAUGCAUAUACCAUCGGGAUAUGCACUUGGCUAUGUCUACGGUUGUUUGGUUGGAAGUCAUUUGGGUUGGCGUUAUGCAUUCUGGGUAGAGUCUUUGCUGAUGGUUCCAUUUGCUAUUUCAGGACUUUUUAUGAAGCCUCUGCAAUUGAGAGGUCUUGUUCCUGCUGAUUCAAAAAAGGCACUGACACCUGAGACAGUUGCGUCAGGAGUUCAAGUUAUGGAGGCUUCAAAUGGAAGAGAUGAGUCACUGUCCUUGAAGGCAGAGCUUAGGGAUAAAAGCUCAAAUGAUCAUUCCAAGUCAAAAUCUGCAACCCAAAUAUUUGAGCAGUUCUUGAGAUUUUUGAAUGAUAUGAAAGAACUUUGGCUUGAUAAGGUUUAUGUUGUCAAUGUUCUAGGUUACAUAGCAUACAACUUUGUCAUAGGUGCUUACUCAUACUGGGGGCCCAAAGCUGGCUAUAAUACAUAUCACAUGCUUCUCUCAAUGACUACAUUUAUUGGUGCUGCAUUUUGUUUUGGUGCCUUCUUAUUCAGAAGCAUGUAUGGCUUCCUUGCUCUUUUCUCUAUUGGUGAACUUCUUGUUUUUGCCACUCAGAUGUACCUUCCUCGCCUCUUGUUGGAGUUCUCCAGGUCAGCCUUUAUAGUUUUAUUUGACAAGUUCAUUAACAUGGAAUAUUUUUGCAUAGUGUGGAUAGAUUUGAUGAAGACAGUGAACAUCAAGUAUCAAACGUUGAAAGGUCAAACACCAUGCCGUUGCUUCAAGAGAAGACUGGAGAAACAUCAGCAUCUCCUGCUCAAUCCCAAUAAUGAGUUUCUUUUAAUGGCUGACCAAACACAGUAUUUCAGUGAUAACCACUAUGAUGUAAAUAACUUUUUUUUGUACAUCCAAUGUGUACAAGUAUGUAUUUGCUUUUGGUUAAUGGAGAUUAUUUAGCAAGAGUAUAUUUCAGUUUUAUGCUUCA